rnacentral:rRNA from 1 species
UACGUAGGGAGCAAGCGUUGUUCGGAUUUACUGGGCGUAAAGGGCGCGUAGGCGGCGCGGUAAGUCACUUGUGAAAUCUCUGAGCUUAACUCAGAACGGCCAAGUGAUACUGCAGUGCUAGAGUGCAGAAGGGGCAAUCGGAAUUCUUGGUGUAGCGGUGAAAUGCGUAGAUAACAAGAGGAACACCUGAGGUGAAGACGGGUUGCUAGGCUGACACUGACGCUGAGGCGCGAAAGCCAGGGGAGCAAACGGG